UACGUAGGUGGCAAGCGUUUGUCCGGAUUUAUUGGGUUUAAAGGGUGCGUAGGCGGUCCUAUAAGUCAGUGCUGAAAUAUCCCGGCUUAACCGGGAGGGUGGCAUUGAUACUGCAGGACUUGAGUAAAGUUGAGGUAGGCGGAAUUGACGGUGUAGCGGUGAAAUGCUUAGAUAUCGUCAAGAACACCGAUAGUGUAGACAGCUUACUAGCUUUAACUGACGCUGAGGCACGAAAGUGUGGGGAUCAAACAGG
rnacentral:rRNA from 1 species